GAUGAACGCUGGCGGCGUGCCUAAUACAUGCAAGUCGAGCGAACAGAUGAGGAGCUUGCUCCUCUGACGUUAGCGGCGGACGGGUGAGUAACACGUGGAUAACCUACCUAUAAGACUGGGAUAACUUCGGGAAACCGGAGCUAAUACCGGAUAAUAUAUUGAACCGCAUGGUUCAAUAGUGAAAGACGGUUUUGCUGUCACUUAUAGAUGGAUCCGCGCCGCAUUAGCUAGUUGGUAAGGUAACGGCUUACCAAGGCAACGAUGCGUAGCCGACCUGAGAGGGUGAUCGGCCACACUGGAACUGAGACACGGUCCAGACUCCUACGGGGGGCAGCAGUAGGGAAUCUUCCGCAGUGGGCGAAAGCCUGACGGAGCAACGCCGCGUGAGUGAUGAAGGUCUUCGGAUCGUAAAACUCUGUUAUUAGGGAAGAACAAAUGUGUAAGUAACUAUGCACGUCUUGACGGUACCUAAUCAGAAAGCCACGGCUAACUACGUG
rnacentral:rRNA from 1 species